CAGAGGCUAUUGCUAUCAGGAGKWUGACUWAGCCAUGCGAGUCGAGAGGUGAAAGACCUCGGCAUACUGCUCAGUAACACGUGGAUAAUCUGCCCUCAGGUGAGGAAUAAUCCCGGGAAACUGGGGCUAAUGCCUCAUAGGAGACGGGUGCUGGAAUGCUCUGUCUCCGAAAGGUCCGCCGCCUGAGGAUGAGUCUGCGUCCGAUUAGGUUGUUGUUGGGGUAACGGCCCAACAAGCCUUUGAUCGGUACGGGUUGUGGGAGCAAGAGCCCGGAGAUGGAUUCUGAGACAUGAAUCCAGGCCCUACGGGGCGCAGCAGGCGCGAAAACUUUACAAUGCGAGCAAUCGUGAUAAGGAAACCCUGAGUGCCUGUCAAUGCAGGCUGUUCUGGUGUCUAACACACACCAGGAGAAAGGGCGGGGCAAGACCGGUGCCAGCCGCCGCGGUAAUACCGGCUGCUCGAGUGAUAGCCACUUUUACUGGGCUUAAAGCGUUCGUAGCUUGGUCGUUAAGUCUCUGGGGAAAUCUUUUGGCUCAACCAAAAGGCGUCUCAGGGAAACUGACGAUCUUGGAACCGGGAGAGGUAAGACGUACUUCGGGGGUAGGAGUGAAAUCUUGUAAUCCCCGAGGGACGACCGAUGGCGAAGGCAUCUUACCAGAACGGCUUCGACAGUGAGGGACGAAAGCUGGGGGAGCAAACCGGAUUAGAUACCCGGGUAGUCCCAGCCGUAAACGAUGUGCGUUAGGUGUGUCAGUGACCACGAGUCGCUGAGGUGCCGAAGGGAAACCGUGAAACGCACCGCCUGGGAAGUACGGUCGCAAGGCUGAAACUUAAAGGAAUUGGCGGGAGSAGCMMCWYAMCSGGUGGAGCCUGCGGUUUAAUUGGA
rnacentral:rRNA from 1 species